rnacentral:sRNA from 1 species
GAGCGCAACGCAUAGCCAGCCUGCCUGGCCCUGAAUCUACCCUCGGGUAUUUCAGGUAAUAAGGCCGCCUGAAAGGGCGGCCUUUUUACUUUAU